UGGAUUCUUGUUUGACCUUACAAGGCCAAUUGUGGUCCCGGCGUUCUUUUAGCCACCACAACCCCAGGGACUGAAGUCCUCUGUCCAUCCCCAGAACAGGUACAGCAUGGACAGCAGCAGGGUGAGCUCUGUCACCUCCCAUUGUGACUCUGCAUUGACCUAGGCUGCUCACCUGAUGGAAGGAGAGUACCACGGGGCUGGACAUCUCUACAAAGGAGAAGUUUCACAUCUGAGAUGAAAGUCCAGUGGAGGGGACAGGACCAAGUGAUCUCUCUCCUCCCUGGUCACCAUAGCAGCAGGGAAUCUCCUCCCUCCCCCACAUAUAUGGGCUGCAGUGAAGAAUAAUAUCCCAACCUGCAAUGAAAACCAGUGAGCAGUUGUGGAUCAGCAUUUGGAAUUGCCAGAACUUUAUUAUUAAUUAUUUGGGGUAUGUUGUGCCUAGCAGCCCCAGCUGAGAUCCGGAUCCCUGUGUACAUACACGCAGUCCCUGCCCUGAACAGCUUACAAACUGAAUAGAUAAGAAGGACAAAAUAAGUUGUACAGUCCCUGUUCUACAGUUGAGAAAGUGAGGCACAGGGGUUCAGUGACUUUUCCCAGGUCACACAGGGAGGAAGUAUGUGGCAGAGCUGGGAAUGGAAUUGGGUACCUUCCUCUCAAUUUUAAUAACAGGCUCACGAGGUCUUACAAGUCUAGACAUAGCAGCAGCAGUGGAGAAAUUCC